rnacentral:rRNA from 1 species
UACGGGGGGGGCAAGCGUUGUUCGGAAUUACUGGGCGUAAAGGGCUCGUAGGUGGCCAACUAAGUCAGACGUGAAAUCCCUCGGCUUAACCGGGGAACUGCGUCUGAUACUGGCAGGCUUGAAUUCGGGAGAGGGAUGCGGAAUUCCAGGUGUAGCGGUGAAAUGCGUAGAUAUCUGGAGGAACACCGGUGGCGAAGGCGGCAUCCUGGACCGGCAUUGACGCUGAGGCGCGAAAGCCAGGGGAGCAAACGGG